rnacentral:ncRNA from 1 species
UUAAUUGGAGGAGCUUGGUAUGGAACCUACCAAGUGAAAACUUUCAAAUUCAGAGAAACCCUGGAAUUAAAAAUGGGCAAUCCUGAGCCAAAUCCUGUUUUAUGAAAACAAGCAAGGGUUUCAUAAACUCAUAAACGAGAAUAAAAGAGGAUAGGUGCAGAGACUCAAUGGAAGCUGUUCUAACAAAUGGAGUUGACUGCAUUGUGUUAGUAAAGGAAUCCUUCCAUCGAAACUUCAGAAAGUAUGAAGGAUAAACUUAAAGACAUACAUAUAGUACUGAAAUACUAUCUCAAAAUGAUUAAUGACGACCCGAAUCUGUAUUUUUUUUAUAUUUAUAUGAAAAAUGAAAGAAUUGUUGUGAAUCGAUUCAAAAUUGAAAAAAGAAUCGACUAUUCAUUGAUCAAAUCAUUCACUCCAUCAUAGUCUGAUAGGUCUUUUUAAGAAUUAAUUAAUCGGACGAGAAUAAAGAUAGAGUCCCAUUAUACAUGUCAAUACCGACAACAAUGAAAUUUAUAGUAAGAGGAAAAUCCGUCGACUUUAGAAAUCGUGAGGGUUCAAGUCCCUCUAUCCCCA